rnacentral:rRNA from 1 species
GAUGAACGCUGGCGGCGUGCUUAACACAUGCAAGUCGAACGAUGAAGCCCAGCUUGCUGGGUGUAUUAGUGGCGAACGGGUGAGUAACACGUGAGUAACCUGACCUUAACUCUGUGAUAAGCCUGGGAAACUGGGUCUAUUACAGGAUAGGAGCGUCCACCGCAUGGUGGGUGUUGGAAAGAUUUAUCGGUUUUGGAUGGACUCGCGGCGUAUCAGCUUGUUGGUGUGGUAAUGGCUCACCAAGGCGACGACGGGUAGCCGGCCUGAGAGGGUGACCGGCCACACUGGGACUGAGACACGGCCCAGACUCCUACGGGAGGCAGCAGUGGGGAAUAUUGCACAAUGGGCGCAAGCCUGAUGCAGCGACGCCGCGUGAGGGAUGACGGCCUUCGGGUUGUAAACCUCUUUCAGUAGGGAAGAAGCGAAAGUGACGGUACCUGCAGAAGAAGCACCGGCUAACUACGUG